rnacentral:rRNA from 1 species
AUGUGGUAUUUAAUCAAGGGAGUUGUGUUGACUAAAGAUAAUCUAACUAAAUGAAACUUGGAAUGGAAUUGAAAAUGUAGUUUAUGUAGUAACUUAGAAACUAUUCAUCACUUGUUCUUUGACGGUUGCUAUGCUAGAUUCAUUUGGAGACUUAUUUACUUCAAGUUUGGCAUAAAACCUCCUAGAAAUGUCAAUCAUAUGUUCGGAUCUUGGCUUAAUGGCUUUGACAUGAGACUAAGAAAAUCACAUUUUAGUAGGUGCACAGCUCUGUUUUGGGCUGUCUAA